rnacentral:rRNA from 1 species
GACGAACGCUGGCGGCGUGCUUAACACAUGCAAGUCGAACGGAAAGGCCCUGCUUGCCGGGUACUCGAGUGGCGAACGGGUGAGUAACACGUGGGUGAUCUGCCCUUCACUUCGGGAUAAGCCUGGGAAACUGGGUCUAAUACCGGAUAGGAGCCAUUUUUAGUGUGAUGGUUGGAAAGUUUUUUCGGUGUAGGAUGAGCUCGCGGCCUAUCAGCUUGUUGGUGGGGUAAUGGCCUACCAAGGCGGCGACGGGUAGCCGGCCUGGGAGGGUGGACGGCCACAUUGGGACUGAGAUACGGCCCAGACUCCUACGGGAGGCAGCAGUGGGGAAUAUUGCACAAUGGGCGCAAGCCUGAUGCAGCGACGCCGCGUGGGGGAGGACGGCCUUCGGGUUGUAAACUCCUUUCGCUAGGGACGAAGCUUUUUGUGACGGUACCUAGAGAAGAAGCACCGGCUAACUACGUG